rnacentral:rRNA from 1 species
CGCCGUAAACGAUGUCGACUUGGAGGUUGUGCCCUUGAGGCGUGGCUUCCGGAGCUAACGCGUUAAGUCGACCGCCUGGGGAGUACGGCCGCAAGGUUAAAACUCAAAUGAAUUGACGGGGGCCCGCACAAGCGGUGGAGCAUGUGGUUUAAUUCGAUGCAACGCGAAGAACCUUACCUGGCCUUGACAUCCAGAGAACUUAGCAGAGAUGCUUUGGUGCCUUCGGGAACUCUGAGACAGGUGCUGCAUGGCUGUCGUCAGCUCGUGUUGUGAAAUGUUGGGUUAAGUCCCGCAACGAGCGCAACCCUUAUCCUUUGUUGCCAGCGGUUCGGCCGGGAACUCAAAGGAGACUGCCGGUGAUAAACCGGAGGAAGGUGGGGAUGACGUCAAGUCAUCAUGGCCCUUACGGCCAGGGCUACACACGUGCUACAAUGGCGCAUACAAAGAGAAGCGACCUCGCGAGAGCAAGCGGACCUCAUAAAGUGCGUCGUAGUCCGGAUUGGAGUCUGCAACUCGACUCCAUGAAGUCGGAAUCGCUAGUAAUCGUAGAUCAGAAUGCUACGGUGAAUACGUUCCCGGGCCUUGUACACACCGCCCGUCACACCAUGGGAGUGGGUUGCAAAAGAAGUAGG